CCCCUGUGAACAUACCAAUUGUUGCCUCGGCGGAUCAGGGCGCUCCCGGUAAAACGGGACGGCCCGCCAGAGGACCCCUAAACUCUGUUUCUAUAUGUAACUUCUGAGUAAUUCCAUAAAUAAAUCAAAACUUUCAACAACGGAUCUCUUGGUUCUGGCAUCGAUGAAGAACGCAGCAAAAUGCGAUAAGUAAUGUGAAUUGCAGAAUUCAGUGAAUCAUCGAAUCUUUGAACGCACAUUGCGCCCGCCAGUAAACUGGCGGGCAUGCCUGUUCGAGCGUCAUUUCAACCCUCAAGCCCCCGGGUUUGGUGUUGGGGAUCGGCGAGCCCUUGCGGCAAGCCGGCCCCGAAAUCUAGUGGCGGUCUCGCUGCAGCUUCCAUUGCGUAGUAGUAAAACCCUCGCAACUGGUACGCGGCGCGGCCAAGCCGUUAAACCCCCAACUUCUGAAUGUUGACCUCGGAUCAGGUAGGAA
rnacentral:rRNA from 1 species